CGGUGAGAGGUGUGUGUAGGCAAAUCCGCACACUGAUACCUCAAGCCGUGAUGGGGAGGGAAAAUCACAGUACCGAAGGUCAUGUACCCACGCUGCCAAGAAACGCCUCUAGCCAGGAGAAGGUGCCCGUACCGCAAACCGACACAGGUGGGCGAGAUGAGAAUUCUAAGGCGCGCGGAAGAACUCUCGUUAAGGAACUCGGCAAAAUGACCCCGUAACUUCGGGAGAAGGGGUGCCCCGGUAGUGUGAAUAGCACGAGGGGGCCGCAGUGAAGAGGCCCAAGCGACUGUUUAGCAAAAACACAGGUCUGUGCGAAGCCGUAAGGCGAAGUAUACGGGCUGACGCCUGCCCGGUGCUGGAAGGUUAAGAGGAGUGGUUAGCCGCAAGGCGAAGCUAUGAAUUGAAGCCCCAGUAAACGGCGGCCGUAACUAUAACGGUCCUAAGGUAGCGAAAUUCCUUGUCAGGUAAAUUCUGACCCGCACGAAUGGCGUAACGACUUGGGCGCUGUCUCAACGAGAGAUCCGGUGAAAUUUUAGUACCUGUGAAGAUGCAGGUUACCCGCGACGUGACGGAAAGACCCCAUGGAGCUUUACUGUAGCUUGAUAUUGAACUUUGGUACGGUCUGUACAGGAUAGGUGGGAGCCUUUGAAGCAGGAGCGCAAGCUUCUGUGGAGGCGCCGUUGCGAUACCACCCUGAUCGUAUCGGAGUUCUAACUCGCUGCCCUUAUCGGGCAGGAGGACCGUGUCAGGCGGACAGUUUGACUGGGGCGGUCGCCUCCUAAAAUGUAACGGAGGCGCUCUAAGGUUCCCUCAGCGCGGUUGGGAAUCGCGCGCAGAGUGCAAAGGCAUAAGGGAGCUUGACUGCGAGACCUACAAGUCGAGCAGGGACGAAAGUCGGACUUAGUGAUCCGGUGGUACCGAGUGGAAGGGCCAUCGCUCAACGGAUAAAAGCUACCCUGGGGAUAACAGGCUUAUCUCCCCCAAGAGUCCACAUCGACGGGGAGGUUUGGCACCUCGAUGUCGGCUCAUCGCAUCCUGGGGCUGAAGUAGGUCCCAAGGGUUGGGCUGUUCGCCCAUUAAAGCGGUACGCGAGCUGGGUUCAGAACGUCGUGAGACAGUUCGGUCCCUAUCUGUCGCGGGCGUAGGAAAUUUGAGAGGGGCUGUCCUUAGUACGAGAGGACCGGGAUGGACGCACCGCUGGUGUACCAGUUGUUCCGCCAGGAGCAUCGCUGGGUAGCCAAGUGCGGAAGGGAUAAGCGCUGAAAGCAUCUAAGCGCGAAGCCUGCCUCAAGAUGAGAUUUCCCAAUUCGUAAGACCCCUGGAAGAACACCAGGUUGAUAGGCUCGGGGUGGAAGCGCGGUAACGUGUGCAGCUGACGAGUACUAAUCGGUCGAGGGCUUAUCU
rnacentral:rRNA from 1 species